rnacentral:snRNA from 1 species
AGGCUGACUUUGGCAGCACAUAUACUGAAAUUUGAAUGGUACAGAGAAGAAUAGAUGGUCCCUGUGCAAGGAUGUGCAAAUUCAUGGCAUUCCGUAAUUGA